AUAACAACUCUUCGCGCAAGCGAAGUUUUAAACCCACCGUGAACCAAAAACCUCUAUAGCUUCGGUAGCGUUGCUGCUGGUCAAUGCCAGCUUCACGUCAGCCUGCCGGUAGCGCAAUACCAAACUCUUGUUUAAAUAAUCUAGUCUGAACUAAAAUUUUCGAAUGAAAAUUAAAACUUUCAACAACGGAUCUCUUGGCUCU
rnacentral:misc_RNA from 1 species